GGUGGACGCCUUUAAAACCGGCUAAGAUGCAAAGGCUAAGGCCGUCUUCGCCCGCCAUCCGGCAGUGGCGGCACGAAAACCAAAGGACGGAUAAGCGUGUAGAAAGCCGCCUGGUGCGGCGUUUGGACAGCGGUUCGAGUCCGCUCACCUCCACGA
rnacentral:tmRNA from 1 species